UACGUAGGGUGCAAGCGUUGUCCGGAAUUAUUGGGCGUAAAGAGCUCGUAGGCGGCUAGUCGCGUCGGCUGUGAAAACCUGGGGCUCAACCCCGGGCCUGCAGACGAUACGGGCUAGCUAGAAUUCGGUAGGGGAGACUGGAAUUCCUGGUGUAGCGGUGAAAUGCGCAGAUAUCAGGAGGAACACCGGUGGCGAAGGCGGGUCUCUGGGCCGAUAUUGACGCUGAGGAGCGAAAGCGUGGGGAGCAAACAGG
rnacentral:rRNA from 1 species